ACUCCUACGGGAGGCAGCAGUAAGGAAUAUUGGUCAAUGGACGCAAGUCUGAACCAGCCAUGCCGCGUGAAGGAUGAAGGUCCUCUGGAUUGUAAACUUCUUUUAUUUGGGAAGAAAUUCCUGUAUUCUUGCAGGAUUGACGGUACCAAGUGAAUAAGCACCGGCUAACUCCGUGCCAGCAGCCGCGGUAAUACGGAGGGUGCAAGCGUUAUCCGGAUUCACUGGGUUUAAAGGGUGCGUAGGUGGGUAGGUAAGUCCGUGGUGAAAUCCUGCAGCUUAACUGCAGAACUGCCGUGGAUACUAUUUAUCUUGAAUACCGUGGAGAUCAGCGGAAUAUGUCAUGUAGCGGUGAAAUGCUUAGAUAUGACAUAGAACACCAAUUGCGAAGGCAGCUGGUUACACGGAUAUUGACACUGAUGCACGAAAGCGUGGGGAUCAAACAGGAUUAGAUACCCUGGUAGUCCACGCCCUAAACUAUGGAUACUCGACAUUUGCGAUAAACUGUAAGUGUCUGAGCGAAAGCAUUAAGUAUCCCACCUGGGAAGUACGAUCGCAAGAUUGAAACUCAAAGGAAUUGACG
rnacentral:rRNA from 1 species